CAGCAGCCACGGUAAUACGUAGGGUGCGAGCGUUAAUCGGAAUUACUGGGCGUAAAGCGUGCGCAGGCGGUUCGUUAAGACAGAUGUGAAAUCCCCGGGCUUAACCUGGGAACUGCAUUUGUGACUGGCGAGCUAGAGUAUGGCAGAGGGGGGUAGAAUUCCACGUGUAGCAGUGAAAUGCGUAGAGAUGUGGAGGAAUACCGAUGGCGAAGGCAGCCCCCUGGGCCAAUACUGACGCUCAUGCACGAAAGCGUGGGGAGCAAACAGGAUUAGAUACCCCCGUAGUCCCUGUCUCUUAUAC
rnacentral:rRNA from 1 species